UUUUGAUAGCAUCGAUUACCUUGGCUGGAAAUGAUUCAUCUUCAGGAUAAUAAGCGAUAGGAUCAGAUAAUAGAGGGUCUGAAACAUUGAGCACACCUUCAAGAGUCGCGUGCAGACAAUAGGCUGAAUAUGUAACAUGGUAUCCGCCUUCUUGGACUAUCAAGAGUCGUCCAUUGCUAUACUUGUUUGCCAUGCCACGAAUUGUCUGCCCAAUCUCUCUGUAACCUUCCAUUGUCAAGCAUUGUCUUCCAUUUGGAUCAAAAGCACUUGAGUCCUGCCCAACAACCAAAACCAUCAUAUCAGGCUCAAAUUUCUCGAUAGCAGGAACAACUAAAUGUUGCAUGGCGUAGCCAUACCCUUUGUCCCCGGUUCCAUUUGGUAAUGGUAUAUUCAGGUUAUACCCAAAACCUUCACCUUCGCCGAGCUCCUCUAUAGUUCCACCCUGUGGAUGAGAGGGGCCCCAAGAACCAUGAUUCAUAUGAAGGGAGAUAGUAAGAACCUUAUCAAAAUGAUAAAAUCCUUCUGCUGUUCCAUUCCCGUAAUGAACAUCGAUGUCAAGGACAACAACCUUCCUACAGCCACCAUCUAAAGCCAGUUGUACAGCUAGACCCGCAUUGUUAAGGAAGCAAUACCCAUCAGCUUGAGUAGGUUG
rnacentral:misc_RNA from 1 species